UGUAGAAUAAGCUAAGGUUAAGCUAUUGGGUUCAUACCCCAAAAAUGAAUAGAAAAUUCUUCUACAA
rnacentral:tRNA from 1 species